UUCUAUAAGAUUAUCAAAUCCUCUUUAAAGAUCACAAAUCUAUCCUAAGAUUUCCAAGAUCAAUUCAUAUCUUGCUAGAGAAAUUCUCUCUCUCCUUCACUCCAAACUUUCGACCACCACCUCUCUCUCCUCUCUCUCAUAUUUCCACCAUUGACAACCAUUAACGAGACCUUGGGAGCUUCACAAAAUCACACCAAAAUCACAAAUCACCCUCUAAAUCUUACACUAAACACUUCCACCUCCUUGAAUUCAAGAAGAUCUUUGGAGUUUGAUCUUCAAAGUUAGAGAGAGAAAGUUUGAUAUUUGGUGUAAGUUUGGGCCCGAGCGAGACGAAGAAGUAAGUUGCCUGAUUUCUUUCCAGGAUUAGCAAAGGACUUCAGGCUAAGCGAGGAGCGAGAUUGAUCUGGUGCUGGCGGGGAA